UGCAUUAACAAAUCACCCCACGAGCUGGAUGC
rnacentral:piRNA from 1 species